CCCUUAGAUGCUCUGGGCCGCACGCGCGCUACACUGGUCGAUGCAACGAGUUUCUUUCCUUGGCCGACAGGCCUGGGCAAUCUUUGAACAUCGAUCGUGAUCGGGAUAGAUUCUUGUAAUUUUUGAUCUUAAACGAGGAAUUCCUAGUAAACGCAAGUCAUCAGCUUGCAUUGAUUACGUCCCUGCCCUUUGUACACACCGCCCGUCGCACCUACCGAUUGAAUGGUCCGGUGAAAUCUCCGGACUGGCGUGAGUCGGAGCAAUCUGACAAACACCGGAAAGUUGAUUAAACCUUACCAUUUAGAGGAAGGUGANGUCGUAACA
rnacentral:rRNA from 1 species